rnacentral:rRNA from 1 species
UACGUAGGGGGCAAGCGUUGUCCGGAAUCAUUGGGCGUAAAGAGCGCGUAGGCGGCCCAGUAAGUCCGCUCUGAAAGUCAGGGGCUCAACCCCUGGAUGCGGGUGGAUACUGCUGGGCUAGAGUCCGGAAGAGGUGAGUGGAAUUCCUGGUGUAGCGGUGAAAUGCGCAGAUAUCAGGAGGAACACCAGCGGCGAAGGCGGCGCUCUGGGCCGGAACUGACGCUGAGGAGCGAAAGCGUGGGUAGCAAACAGG